rnacentral:rRNA from 1 species
CAGCCGCCGCGGUAAUACGUAGGUGGCAAGCGUUGUCCGGAAUUAUUGGGCGUAAAGGGCUCGCAGGCGGUUUCUUAAGUCUGAUGUGAAAGCCCCCGGCUCAACCGGGGAGGGUCAUUGGAAACUGGGAAGCUUGAGUGCAGAAGAGGAGAGUGGAAUUCCACGUGUAGCGGUGAAAUGCGUAGAGAUGUGGAGGAACACCAGUGGCGAAGGCGACUCUCUGGUCUGUAGCUGACGCUGAGGAGCGAAAGCGUGGGGAGCGAACAGGAUUAGAUACCCCUGUAGUCCCUGUCUCUUAUAC